AUUCAUUUAAAGUAAAAGAAAAGGAAAAAAAGAAGAAAUAAAGGCUUCUUCUUCCCCUUCACGCCUAAGCUCUCGUUGGUCCACUGUUUUCCUCGCCGCCAGCAACUCUUGCAACUCCGUCCAACGCGCGCGCCACCGCUUCUCACCUCAAGUCGAAGCCGUGUGUCGUCAGCUGUCCGCGCCACCGUCCUUUCCUCCCCUACCGGCGCCGAAUCUGCGAGCCGCCAGCCGCGCCACCUUCGAUCUGAGUCGUUGCGAAGUCGCGAGCGUCCUCUCUAUUCGCGCCAUUCUUUGCCGCCAUCACUCAUCGAUGGGUUGAGUUAGGUUCAUUUGGAUAAAUUCUUUUGGAAUUUAUUUGUGAUUUUCUGUCGGUGUUGGAUUUUCGAGCUCUAAUUGGAUAAGUAAUUGGAAAUGUAAGAUUACUUGAAAUUGGUAAUUUUGUUGGCCAAAAUUAUUAAUUUAAAUAUGUUAUGCUUGGAUUGAAUCUUGGAAAUUUGUUUGCAUUGACAA